rnacentral:rRNA from 1 species
UAGUGACCUGCGGAGGAUCAUUACAGAGUUCAUGCCCUCACGGGUAGAUCUCCCACCCUUGAAUACCUUACCUUUGUUGCUUUGGCGGGCCACGUUCGCGUGUCGGCUUCGGCUGGCUGUGCCCGCCAGAGGACCCAAACUCUUUUGUUUAGUGAUGUCUGAGUACUAUAUAAUAGUUAAAACUUUCAACAACGGAUCUCUUGGUUCUGGCAUCGAUGAAGAACGCAGCGAAAUGCGAUAAGUAAUGUGAAUUGCAGAAUUCAGUGAAUCAUCGAAUCUUUGAACGCACAUUGCGCCCCUUGGUAUUCCGAGGGGCAUGCCUGUUCGAGCGUCAUUAUGACCACUCAAGCCCGGCUUGGUGUUGGGGUCCGCGGUCCCGCGGCCCUUAAAAUCAGUGGCGGCGCCAUCUGGCUCUAAGCGUAGUAAUACUCCUCGCUAUAGGGUUCCCGGUGGAUGCUUGCCAUCAACCCCCAAUCUCACGGUUGACCUCGGAUCAGGUAGGGAUACCCGCUGAACUUAAGCAUAUCAAUAAGCGG